rnacentral:rRNA from 1 species
GAAACAGGGAGGUGCCCUCGAAAGAGGGAGCCAGGAGACAGGUGCUGCAUGGCUGUCGUCAGCUCGUGUCGUGAGAUGUUGGGUUAAGUCCCGCAACGAGCGCAACCCUUGUCCGCUGUUGCCAUCAGGUUAAGCUGGGCACUCUGCGGAGACUGCCGGUGAUAAACCGGAGGAAGGUGGGGAUGACGUCAAGUCAGCAUGGCCUUUAUGUCUGGGGCUACACACGUGCUACAAUGGCAGGUACAAACCGUCGCGAUGCCGCGAGGUGGAGCUAAUCGGAGAAAACCUGUCUCAGUUCGGAUUGCAGGCUGCAACUCGCCUGCAUGAAGUUGGAAUCGCUAGUAAUCGCGGAUCAGCACGCCGCGGUGAAUACGUUCCCGGGCCUUGUACACACCGCCCGUCACAUCACGAAAGCCGG